GUAUGUGAGAAGGCACACCCGGAGAACUGAAACAUCUUAGUACCCGGAGGAAGAGAAAUAAAACUCGAUUCCCUGAGUAGCGGCGAGCGAAACGGGUAGAGCUCAAACCAAUAGGCUUGCCUAUUGGGGUUGUAGGACACUCAAUACGUAGUUACAAAGGAAAUGAUUAGACGAAUUGUUUUGGAAAAGCCAACCAUAGAAGGUAAAGGUCCUGUAGUCGAAAGUAAUUACUCUCCUGAGAGGAUCCUGCGUACGGCGGAACUCGUGAAAUUCGUGCGGAUUCUGGGAUGACUAGCUC
rnacentral:rRNA from 1 species